rnacentral:rRNA from 1 species
GACGAACGCUGGCGGCGUGCUUAACACAUGCAAGUCGAGCGGUAAGGCCCUUUCGGGGGUACACGAGCGGCGAACGGGUGAGUAACACGUGGGUGACCUGCCCUCAGCUCUGGGAUAAGCCUGGGAAACCGGGUCUAAUACCGGAUAUGACUCCAUGACGCAUGUUGUGGGGUGGAAAGCCUUGUGCGGCUGAGGAUGGGCCCGCGGCCUAUCAGCUUGUUGGUGGGGUGAUGGCCUACCAAGGCGACGACGGGUAGCCGGCCUGAGAGGGCGACCGGCCACACUGGGACUGAGACACGGCCCAGACUCCUACGGGAGGCAGCAGUGGGGAAUCUUGCGCAAUGGGCGAAAGACCUGACGCAGCGACGCCGCGUGAGGGA